rnacentral:rRNA from 1 species
AGAGUUUGAUCCUGGCUCAGGAUGAACGCUGGCGGCGUGCCUAAUACAUGCAAGUCGAACGCAGUCCUUCGGGACUGAGUGGCGAACGGGUGAGUAAAAGAUAAGGAACCUGGCUUCUGAAGGGGGAUAGCGUCUGGAAACGGACGGUAAAACCGCGUAGGCAGCAAAGACACAUGUUUUUGCUGUUAGAUAUGCUACGGCAUAGACAGAAGAUGGCCUUAUCACGCAUUAGCUAGUUGGUGAGGUAACGGCCCACCAAGGCGACGAUGCGUAGCCGGCCUGAGAGGGCGGACGGCCACACUGGGACUGAGACACGGCCCAGACUCCUACGGGAGGCAGCAGUAGGGAAUUUUCGGCAAUGGGCGAAAGCCUGACGGAGCAACGCCGCGUGAACGAAGAAGGUCUUCGGAUCGUAAAGUUCUGUUAUCGGGGAAGAGAGGGCAAUUUAGGGAAUGAAAUUGCAGAGGACGGUACCCGAUGAGGAAGCCACGGCUAACUACGUGCCAGCAGCCGCGGUAAUACGUAGGUGGCGAGCGUUAUCCGGAAUUAUUGGGCGUAAAGAGGGAGCAGGCGGUCGUAAGGGUCCAUCGGUAAAAGACCGGGGCUAAACUCCGGGAAGGCGAGGAAACCGUACGACUAGAGUACAGCAGAGGAUCGUGGAAUUCCAUGUGUAGCGGUGAAAUGCGUAGAUAUAUGGAGGAACACCAGUGGCGAAGGCGACGAUCUGGGCUGAAACAGACGCUGAGUCCCGAAAGCGUGGGGAGCAAAUAGGAUUAGAUACCCUAGUAGUCCACGCCGUAAACGAUGAGUACUAAGUGUUGGGGGUCGAACCUCAGUGCUGUAGUUAACGCAAUAAGUACUCCGCCUGAGUAGUACGUUCGCAAGAAUGAAACUCAAAGGAAUUGACGGGGGCCCGCACAAGCGGUGGAGCAUGUGGUUUAAUUCGAAGCAACGCGAAGAACCUUACCAAGGCUUGACAUCCCGAUGACCGCUCUAGAGAUAGAGCUUCUCUUCGGAGCAUCGGUGACAGGUGGUGCAUGGUUGUCGUCAGCUCGUGUCGUGAGAUGUUGGGUUAAGUCCCGCAACGAGCGCAACCCC